CCCCUCUCUCCCCCCCCCCCUUUUUCUCCUCUCCUCCUUCUCCUCUUCCUUUGGCCACAGUUAUCUGAGGACACCCAUCUCAGGCUAUCAAUGUGAAAUAAGUUUUUCUCUAUGAUAUUAAUGGUCAGAAACCACUAAUAAAAGCAGUUUGAAAAAGAAAAAAAAAAAAAAUUCGGGAAUAAAGGGGGAACCAACCCAACAGAUGUUGGACUAUAUUUGGGGGACAAAUAUAUUGUUGCCGGGGGACAUACGCAGCAUAAUGAAGUUAAUACUAACACAGCAUCAGCAGCUGCUGUUUAACGCGCAUUGGCACGCAGUAUGCCAGGAAGCGGUAGCUGUUAUAAGGGCUCCAGGGGACCCGUUGUAUGGAGUAAGGUUAGAUGAGUUGAUGGGGAUAGGCGCGUAUUUCCGCUUAGAAGCGCAGGCCCUGCUGGGACCAGAUAAAGCUAAAGAAUCAAUGAAACUAGCAAGGCGGGCGCUUGAUCAAUUAAAGGAGCCAGGGGGUAUCCCAUCUUAUAUGGGAAUAAAGCAGGGCCGGGAAGAGCCUUUCGGCUUAUUUAUUGACAGAGUAGCCAAUGCUAUACAAGCAGCAGGGGUACCAGAUUAUCUGAAAGGGACUAUCUUGAAACAAUGUGCAAUACAGAAUAGUAACCCUUCAACGCGUAGUAUUUUAGCCACACUCCCGGGAACAUGGACUAUUGAGGAGGGGCUAGAAAGAAUGGCGCAGGUACCUGUAGGACUGCAAGCUAUGCUAGUAGAGGCAGUGAAACAAUUAGGAGAGAGCAUGAGAGAGCAAGCACAGGCGUUGCGGGAUAAUAUGCAACAGAAUCAAAGACAGGUAUUCGCUGCCCUUGCUCCUUUGCAAAAUCCCGGCGGAAAUACCCCCCCGAUCGACGAUCGGCACGCUGCUACCGAUGCGGCGCUGUUGGUCAUCUUCGCAGAGAAUGCCAAGCUAGUAGAGUAUGGUGUCCCAACUGCAAAAGCAGCAAACAUGAUGGAGCGGCUUGUUGGAAGGCUGGCUCGGGAAACGCCCGGAGAAGCGGGACGAGCCGCCCCGCGACGACACAAAAGGCGGCCUUCACCACAACAACUCAGCAACCCCUGCAGUUAACACAACCACCUCAGCCGGCGCCCAGCUCCACUCCGAACAGCAUGAACCCCUUUGUCUUCGACCAGCCACCAGAGGGAGUCUCGGACUGGACUUGGCAACAGCAGUAGACGCCACCUUAUUGGAUACAAAGCCAACAAGAAUCCGGACGAAUGUCUACGGACCAGUAACUAUUAAUCAUGAGCCAGUAGGUGCCUUACUGAUUGGAAGAUCGUCCGCUACAAUGAAAGGAUUACAAGUUUUGACAGGAUUGAUCGACAAGGACUAUUUCGGGGAAAUACAAAUUGUGGUUUCAGCAAUGUUUCCACCUAUGCACAUACCACAAGGAUCGAGGAUAGCUCAACUUAUUCCGCUUCCCCACCUGACUGAAGGGGUGGCACCAGCGAAAGAGCAACCACGAGGCUAUGGUGCUUUUGGUUCCACUGGAAGUGCAGUAUUACUGACUGUCGGAAUGCAUCAAAGGCCCCGACAAACCGUGACUGUAAAGUAUAAAGAAGAAUCUAUACGCACUAAUGCCUUAUUGGACACUGGAGCGGAUGUAUCAAUAAUUAGCACUAAGAUUUGGCCCCAGCAUUGGCCAACCCGAGAGACCAGCUCCACGGUAGCUGGAGUAGGCGGGGUCACCCUCGCCCGGAAAUCAUCGAUGCUACAAUGGACUAUAGGGAACAAGGUGGUUAAUUGCUCCGUUUCCAUUUUACCCCUACCUGAAGGAGUGCAAGCCUUAAUAGGGCGCGAUAUCCUUGCCCAGAUGGGUAUGGUGCUUACCUCGGAACACCCUUUAUAGCACCGGCCAUUGCCUGGACUUUCCCAAUCCCACUCAGCUGGAGGACUGAUCAGCCUGUGUGGGUAGAGCAAUGGCCGCUUAAACGGGAAAGUCUCAUUCAAGCACAUGAACUAGUAAAGGAACAGUACAAACAAGGUCAUCUAAGACUAUCUACCAGCCCUUGGAAUACCCCAAUAUUUGUGAUCAAGAAAAAAUCCGGCAAAUACAGACUUUUACACGAUCUACGUGCUGUAAACAGACAGAUGCAUGACAUGGGUGCUUUACAACCGGGGUUACCCAACCCAGCAAUGAUCCCAGAAGGCUGGCACCUGCUAAUCGUAGAUUUAAAGGACUGUUUCUUUACUAUAGCCCUCCAUGAAGAUGAUAAACAGCAAUUUGCAUUUACACUCCCUGCUAUCAAUAGAGAGGGGCCAGACCAAAGAUUUGAAUGGACAGUACUACCGCAGGGUAUGCGAAACUCACCAACCCUCUGUCAACUCUAUGUCGAUGCGGCACUUCAACCGUUACGUCAACAGUGGCCAGAGACCAUGAUAUAUCACUACAUGGACGACAUAUUGUUGGCACAAAAAACCCCCUUUUCUCCUGAACAAAAAUUUGAUCUAAUCACACAAUUAAAGAAAAAGGAACUUGUAGUGGCCCCGGAAAAGGUACAAGAAUCCAGCCCCUGGCAGUAUCUAGGUUGGCAUAUUUCGAAUGCCACCAUCAGACCACAGAAAUUGACAAUCAGGACUGACAUAAGAACACUCAAUGAUGCUCAAAAACUAUUAGGAGACCUCCAAUGGAUCCAUCCGGUUGUCGGCAUUCCUAAUGAACUUUUAAAUCUGCUACGCCCCUUGCUGAAGGGAACAGACCCAGCGGCUGCCGUCACGCUCACAGAGGAACAGCAACGGGUACUCCGGGAAAUUGCAUCGCUAAUUACUACGCGUGCUACGCACCGGCGCCUGGAAAAUCAGCCACUUGAUCUUACUAUUUUAUGUGGCCCACAAUACCUAAUGGGAGCCAUUACACAACACAAAAUAAAAACGGGGGAAAAAAAAGAGGGUUGGCGGAACCCAUUGUACUAGAAUGGAUAGCACCACUGUUACAACCAAAACGAACUAUUCAAGGAAAAAAUUGAUAAGACCCUAUUCGUACUAAACUAUUUGUGUGUAUUCGGGGACGACAAAGAACCACCAGCAAUCAAACAUCAUAUAGAAGAAGAAAAGGCUGGUAGCCGGACCUUUAGAGUAAAAUACCGGGACAUGAAAACGGGAGUAUGGAUAGGUCCAGCAGAGGACGCCUGACACUCUUUGCCCCUGACUUACAUGAUCAGCGUUGGUCAAAUCUGACUGCAGCAAUCAAACAUAGAAGAAGUGAGAAUCGUCGAGGCAAACGUGAAUUGAAAAAACUAGGUUCAGAUUGCGCUGAUGAUGCAGAAUUAUGGGGGCCUGCGGAAAGGUUUUUCGCCGCAGCUUUAGCUCCUAACGUUGCAGUUGCGCAUGCCAUGUCUAAUCUAAAUAAACUUGCUUGUUGGGCUGUUAGGCAGUCAAAUGUUACUACACAAAUUCUCUCUGAAAUGUCACAGGAUAUGGAUAGCCUGAGACAUGCAGUGUUGCAAAAUAGAGCAGCUAUAGACUUUCUGCUUUUAGCACAGGGACGCGGGUGUGAGGAUUUUGAAGGAAUGUGUUGUUUUAAUCUUUCUGAUCAUGGACAGUCAAUCCAUGAGCAAUUGAAAUGGCUAAAGGACCACACCCAGAGAAUCACCGUACAGUAUAAUUGGUUUGAUGAUCUGUUUAGAAAGAUGUUUGGUAAUGUGAGUACCUGGAUUUUGGGCUUGAUCAAAGAAGGGCUACGUAUUCUAUUCAUAAUUGUAUUAAUUUUAAUUGCUGUAAGAGUGAUUUUUGGCUGCUUAACACAAAAGCUUGAACAAUUAACUAAAAAAGUCUUUCUCGCACAAAAUAAAAACGGGGGAAUUGUGGAGGACUGGCUUGAGGGCAGAGGUCAUGUGAAGAUUGAACAACUAAAGGAAGCAGAACUAAGUAUAUAUCGCACACAGUUGAUGUGAGCCAAGUCCCGUACGAGAGUAAAAACAGCUAGAGCCAAGGACACAUUGUCCUUGGCUCCAAUGUGUUAUCAAUGAUUAGUCCUGGGAACUUGCAGGUGAUGUAAUGCAGAAGUUGUUGGGGUAAACAAAAUUGCUAUUACCAAUAAGGAGCUCAGCCUUUGCAAUAUGUAUGAGCCUGAUUAGUCCUGUGCUAUAUAAAGGAAGAUCACGCCUAAUAAAGAGGAAGUACGCUGAUCACUCA